AACCGGUGGUAGAACCGCGAUCGGUCAGCGACCAUUUGGCAAGACAACUAAAAGUCAAAAACGAGUGUGUUGGCCCUAUUUUUAGUGAAACAAAAAUCAAAUCAACGUAAUUUCAAUAUUAUAAUGAGAUCGCCAUUUAAAUAUUCAUUUAACUAGACGAAUUACGUGUCUGAGUGCACAUAUCUGUUGUUCUUUGUUACAUCAUGAAUAAAAGUUUAUCGAGGGAAGAGAAUUGAUUUUCUUUACGGUAAAAAUUGAUGGAAACUGAUAUUAUGGAGGUGAGAGGGGCUGGAGACGGGGCUGCGGCCGUGGAGUAUGUCCGACCUCCUUCGAAACGAUACUCCUGGGCCGAAGUAAGACAGGCCGUACACGAUUUAAGAAAGGAAUUAUCAUGCCUAUCGACUAUGGUCCCGAUUGCUAUAAGUUUUCGUAAAUUAGGCAAUGGGAAGACCAGGAUAUAUUUUUUGAGGAACCCACAGAAUGGUUGGGAGAUCACCUUGCUGUAUACUGAUGUUUUGCCUUCACAACAGCCAAAUAACUCAAGAUUAGACUGGAAACCUCUAAUAGAGUCCAACGUGGCUCUCGGAGUGACAUCAGGCAAGUGGUCCCGAGAGGAACAGCUUCUAUGGGAACGCCAGAGAGUAGCUGCAUGGGGCAUAGCCUCCUAUGAACUGCAUCAGGCCACGGGACGCAUCAUGUUUCCAUGUGCAUCCUCGCUGUUUGUGGCUGAUGAGGGACUUAGUCAGUCACCCCCCCUAGUUCCCCGUUCCCUCAACACGGGUGGGGGAGCACCCUUAACCCCGGCGAUGUGUCCCCGAGCCCCCGACCUGGUGGCUCACGCGGCGAGGGGUGAUAUCUGGCUCGCUGGGGGGCAGUUGAGGCGUCCUACUAGACUUACGUAUGCUUGUAAGGGUCAUGAACCUGAUCGGUUAGCAGACGAUCCCCGGCAGGCGGGAGUGCCAUGCUACGUGACCCAGGAGGAGUUCUCAAGAUACACCGGUUUCUGGUGGCAACCACAAGCUGAAGAUGAUGUGUUCAGGAUAGUUUACGAGGAGGUUGACGAGAGCGAAGUGAAGAUCUACAGCUUUCCAUCUUCACAGACCACCAGUGGAGAAGUUGAGGAGUUCAGAUUCCCUCGCGCCGGCACCCCCAACGCCAAGUCCUCGCUGAAGAUGGUCACGUUCAGACUGCAGAAGGCGGCUCCCACCACAGUGCUGGACUAUUAUCAGGAAGGAGCUGCUGAACACUCUGGUGAAUCGACGAAUGGCUGUAUGGAGGUGACGGAUAUCCGGUGGUAUGAGUUACGCCAGCCGCUGAAGGAAACCUUUCCCUGGUUCGAAUACCUAGCCAGGGUAGGCUGGACACCUUGCGGACAGUAUGUCUGGGUGCAACUUCUAGACCGUAAACAACAGCGAUUGGAGCUGGUGUUAAUACCGCUAUCACAGUUCUGUACUCCGUCCCGAUAUGACACAGAUGACGCGCCUACUGUGAGGCACGAACCGGUGAUUAGUGAUCAGGCAAUCCAAGACAUCCAGAUCUUAGUAUCAGAAACGGCGCCCGACGCAUGGAUCAACGUCCACGAUAUCCUAUAUUUUCUACCAUCGAAUGGCUUAGAAAUGAACUUUAUUUGGGCGAGCGAAGAGAGCGGACAUUUACACCUGUAUUUAGUCACUUGUGCUCUAAUACAGAAGAGUACGGCGCAGAAUAGAUCGGUCAUAGAAAUGAUAACGGAAGACGAGAGCAACGCCGUAGGACCGAACAUGAUCAGCAAAGAGCCAAUCACGGCCGGCGAGUGGGAGGUCAUGGCCAGAAAGAUAUGGGUAGACGUGGGUCGGCAGCUGGUAUACUUCGUGGGUCUGCGCGAGACGCCGCUAGAGCGACAUCUGUACGCCGCGCCGCUCGCGCCGCCGCGACCGCAUGCGGUGACGUUGCUGACCAGUGUGGGGCAUUCUUGUGCUGUUGAUAUUGACGAGGACUGCACAAUGGCAGUGAUAACAUCUUCGAACAUCAGCAGUGUGCCCGUAACGAGAGUAUACAGGAUCACCACGUCACCACCGCGCUUACUGGUUCAAGGCACCAUCACUGAUAGACCUCCUUCAGCAGAAUCUCUGGAGAUACGAAGUUUCAACGGCUCGUGGGACAGCCGGUCCGGCGACGGAGAUGACACGGAUAGCGAAACCGGAUCAUUAAUCAGAGAACGUUCACUCAGCAUAUCAGAGAUCCCGGCGCCCACAAUAUACGAGACGCGUCUGUCUUGCGGCGCCACCGCGUACUGUACACUGUGGCGCUGCGGCCGCCCGGGGCGGAGCCCUACCGUGCUGCACGUGUACGGAGGCCCCGAGGUGCAGACUGUCACUAAUAGUUAUAAGGGUAUCAGACAGCUUCGCAUGCAUAUGCUGGCUGCGCGAGGGUUCAACGUGGUGGCGGUAGACUCGAGAGGGUCCAAGCACCGCGGACGAGCCUGGGAGGCGGCUAUCAAAGGGAAGUUAGGCCAGAUCGAGUUGGAUGAUCAGGUGGAAGUGUUACAAUGGCUGGCUAAAGAGACCGGUUGUAUAGACAUGGAGAGAGUCGCCAUCCAUGGUUGGAGUUACGGUGGCUACCUAUCCCUGCUGGCCCUGGCGACGCGGCCGGCGGUGUUCCGCGUGUGCGUGGCGGGGGCCCCGGUGACGUGCUGGCGCCUGUACGACACCGCCUACACCGAGCGGUACAUGGGCAGCCCCGCCCGCUCCCCGCACGCCUACACCCGCGCCUCCGUGCUGGCACACGCGCCCUUCUUCCCCGACCAGUGAGUACCGCGGCACGAGUCAAGAGCUCUGACCUCCCCCCGCACGCCUACACCCGCGCCUCCGUGCUGGCACACGCGCCCUUCUUCCCCGACCAGGAAGGUCGUCUGCUGAUCAUCCACGGCUUGGCGGACGAGAACGUCCACUUCUGUCACACGGCCGCGCUCACGGCCGAGCUCGUCCGCCUCGGGAAACCGCAUCGAGUGCAGGUGUACCCAGGAGAAAGGCACUCUCUCAGAG
rnacentral:misc_RNA from 1 species